GAGCGGGUGACCAUUUUCAAGAGCCAUCAAGCCACGAAGAAACCCAGCACGCUAUGGAGGGGAAAACCACCUCGGUGAUGGCUGACUCCCCAGGCAGCACAGAUCUUCAGGUCCUGCCAUGAUGGGAACAAGGGUGCAGAAGGUUAGGUCCCGUCUCCCUUUGGAAAUGACAAGCCUGUGUUUCCAG